GAAAUGCGAUAAGUAGUGUGAAUUGCAGAAUUCAGUGAAUCAUCGAAUCUUUGAACGCACAUUGCGCCCCUUGGUAUUCCAUGGGGCAUGCCUGUUCGAGCGUCAUUACGCACCCUCAAGCCCGGCUUGUGUGAUGGGCCCCGGCGUCUCGUUCGCGAGACGGGCCCGAAAGGCAGCGGCGGCGUCGACCCGAUGAGCCCGAGCGUAUGGGGACUUCUGUCACACGUUCGCGGUGCGGACCGGCGCCUGCUUGACUUUUCUGAUUAUCCAGGUUGACCUCGGAUCAGGUAGGGAUACCCGCUGAACUUAAGC
rnacentral:misc_RNA from 1 species